rnacentral:rRNA from 1 species
CAUGUAGGCGGCAUGACAAGUCUGGUGUGAAAUAUCUCGGCUCAACCGAGAAAACGCACUGGAAACUGUCAAGCUUGAGUAUCGGAGGGGAAGCCAGAAUUCCUGGUGUAGGGGUGAAAUCUGUAGAUAUCAGGAAGAAUACCGGUGGCGAAGGCGAGCUUCUGGCCAGAUACUGACGCUGAGAUGCGAAAGCGUGGGGAGCGAACAGGAUUAGAUACCCUGGUAGUCC